rnacentral:lncRNA from 1 species
AUGGGGUCAGUAAUAGGGUCUCACUGAUGGGAUCCCAUUUAUGGGUUUGGGGUCUCACCUAUGGGGUCUCGCUUAUGGGGCCCCACUUAUGGGGUCAUUGAUGGACCUGGGCUCUCGCUUAUGGGGUCUCGCUUAUGGGGUCUCACUUAUGGGGUCAGUGAUGGGUCUGGGGUCCCACUUAUGGGGUCUCACUUAUGGGUCUGGGGUCUCCCUUAUGGGGUCAGUGAUGGGUCUGGGGUCUCCCUUAUGGGUCCGGGGUCUGCCUUAUGGGGUCCCAUUUAUAGGGUCUCCCUUAUGGGCCUGGGGUCUCUUUUAUGGGGUCACCAAUGAAUCUGGUGUCUCCCUUAUGGGGUCAGUGAUGGGUCUGGGGUCUCCCUUAUGGGGUCCCACUUAUAGGGUCUCGUUUAUGGGGUCAGUGAUGGGUUUGGAGUUUCCCUUAUGGGGUCUGUCUUAUGGGGUCUCUCUUAUGGGGUCACUGAUGGGUCUGGGAUCCCACUUACGGGGUCUCCUUUAUGGGGUCAGUGAUGGGUCUGGGGUCCCCCUUAUGGGGUCCGACUUUAUGGGGCAGUGAUGGGUCUGGGUCUCCCUUAUGGGGUCCCACUUAUGGGGUCUCUCUUAUGGGGUCUCCCUUAUGGGGUCACUGAUGGGUCUGGGGUCUGACUUACGGGGUCUGACUUACGGGGUCAGUGAUGGGUCUGGGGUCCCACUUAUGGGGUCUCCCUUAUGGGGUCUCAUUUAUGGGGUUAGUUAUGGGUCUGGGAUCUGUCUUAUAGGAUCUCACUUAUGGGGUCUCAUUUAUGGGGUCUCACUUAUGGAGUCACUGGUGGUUCUGGGGUCCCACUUAUGGGGUCCCACUUAUGGGGUCUCAUUUAUGGGUCUGGGGUCCCACUGAUGGGGUUUCUCUUAUGGGGUCCUACUUACGGGUCUGGGGUCUCAUUUAUGGGGUCACUUAUGGGUCUGGGGUCCCACUUAUGGGGUCCCACUUACGGGGUCCUCCUUAUGGGGCCUCCCUUAUGGGGUCUCACUUAUGGGGUCACUGAUGGGUCUGGGGUCUCCCUUAUGGGGUCUCCCUUAUGGGGUCCCACUUAUGGGGUCCUAUUUAUGGGGUCACUGAUGGGUCUGGGGUCUCCCUUAUGGGGUCUCCCUUAUGGGGUCCCACUUAUGGGGUCCUAUUUAUGGGGUCACUGAUGGGUCUGGGGUCUCCCUUAUGGGGUCUCCCUUAUGGGGUCUGACUUAUGGGGUCUCCCUUAUGGGGUCACUGAUGGGUCUGGGGUCUCCCUUAUGGGGUCCCACUUAUGGGGUUUCCCUUACAGGGUCACUUAUGGGUCUGGGGUCUCUCUUAUGGGGUCUCUCUUAUG